GUGAAUCAUCGAAUCUUUGAACGCAACUUGCACUCCCUGGUAUUCCGGGGAGUAUGCCUGUUUGAGGGUCGUUAGACUAAAAAAUCGAGGCGUCGCUCUUUUUUUUAUGGGUGAUCGCGUCGUAAUUGAUCCGUCUUUCAAAUGUUAAUUCAUGUCAAAGUGGCUUGAUAUUCAUCCAUCCAGUACUGUUAAAGCGUAUUUUAGUU
rnacentral:misc_RNA from 1 species